AUUGAACGCUGGCGGCAGGCCUAACACAUGCAAGUCGAACGAGUGGCGGACGGGUGAGUAAUGUCUGAGAAACUGCCUGAUGGAGGGGGAAAACUACUGGAAACGGUAGCUAAUACCGCAUACCAUCAGAUGUGCCCAGAUUGGAUUAGCUUGUUGGUCGGGUAACGGCUCACCAAGGCGACGCUCCCUAGCUGGUCUGAGAGGAUGACCAGCCACACUGGAACUGAGCAACGGUCCAGACUCCUACGGGAGCCAGCAGUGGUGAAUAUUGCACAAUGGGGGCAAGCCUGAUGCAGCCAUGCCGCGUGUAUGAAGAAGGCCUUCGGGUUGUAAAGUACUUUCAGCGGGGAGGCGUUACCCGCAGAAGAAGCACCGGCUAACUCCGUGCCAGCAGCCGCGGUAAUUC
rnacentral:rRNA from 1 species